rnacentral:lncRNA from 1 species
GGAAGGAUGGUGUGAUGGGGUAUGGAUGGAAGGUGAAGGGAAGGAUUGUGUGAUGGGGUAUGGAUGGAAGGUGAAGGAAAGGAUGCGAGGAUAUUAAGGAAUAGGACGAUCGGUGAAACUUCAAUGCGAGAAUGAUUGAAGGUGGAGUGUGAGAUGUGGUGAUGGAGACUUAAAAAGGAGUUUACUGCUUACAAAUUUUUUUAAAGGUAUAUUCAUGAAACUUUUGAUUAAAAUACCAGUUUUAUUACGUUCAGCGUUCACGUAAAACGUUAAUAAAUGAGCAAUAUACUAAUUGAAAAGUCAAUGGGACUCUUUCAAAAUAGUGACACACUUUCAUGCCUCAGCACGAUCAGAGAGCGGACAUUAUACUGAUACACUUUUCGGUCGGUCCAAACUGGGCCAGAACUACCCAGAAAAUAACAAGAAGUAUAUCGCUAUUAGGACAAUAUCUCACUUAUUCCUACGAGUGUACACUAUACAUUUUCUUUCUCUAAGUUUAUUCAUUAAAUUUUAUCACUGUAUUGCCAUUGAAAACAAUAGAAGAAUAUCUGAGCAAUAAAUUUAGAGGAUAUUCUGUGCAGCAUAAUUCUGAUUUUAAAUUAAUAAUUCUGCAUAAUAACAAGUAACUUUGUCCUCUCGUACAUACAUGCUGGGCUGCCACGCCAGAGCUGAUGAAGCGUGUGCUACUUUGUUGAUAGUAAAGAAACGUUCGAGGAGCGCUGUGCACCAGGGGAGUCCAAAGCGACGUUCACGCUGGACGAGUUCAUUGAGAAGACCAUGUACACUUGAGUUUAUUUCAUAUCUUUAAAACUUAGUAAACUUAAAGUUGUAACUUGCCUUGUAACUUGAAUCAAAGACGUGAUACUUGUAAAGGUUCACCUCCGGUCACUUAAUAAAAGUUUAUGUAAUAGUGAAUAAGUAAAGAUGGUUAAGCGAAGUAAGUGUUGUUAACGAAUUAAAUACGAAUUUAAGAAAAACCCUAUCAAUCACAAAUUUAAUAUGAAAAAUGCCUCUAAUAUUCUAAAAGAGCCUUUAAAUUCUUCCAAAAAAUGCCUUUUAAAAUCUCUAAAAUUAAUUCCUUUAAAAUCUUCGAAUAUAAUGUCUUCAAAAUCUUUAAAAUCAAUAUUAUCAUCUUCAUUACAACUAUUAUUAUUGCAAUAUUUACUAUUGUUAUUAUUAUUUCAAAAAUAUUUCGUAAAAAUUGAAUUUUUUCUCAUACGCGCAUCACUUUCUGAAGUAAAUACACUUAAUAGUCUACAAGUAACCGGUUGUAAACGGUUAGGUCUGCACAAAACGGAUUAUUGAAUGCAUAGGCCUUCUGAUACGAAAAAUAUAUGAAGUGCAUUCAAACGGUAACUAAAAUAAUAACGGUGGGCUAAUGUCAAUAAAUAACAUUCUUUACGAAUAUUUUUAGUGAUUGUGAACAUUUCUGCUAUUAUUUUAUCGACAAUUGCCAAAUUUAAAUGUUUUAGCUUAAAUAUAUUUUCGGUUUGGCUUUGAUUUCAUAUUUGGGGUAAAAACAAUUUCGUUUUGCUUCGGAUUCAAGGGGCUUUGGGGUAAAAAAAUUAUUCUCGGCUUUUGAUUCACGAGGCUUUGGGGUAAAAACAAUCUCGUUGGGCUUCGGAUUCAUUGGCUUUGGGGUAAAACAAUUUGCUUCGCUUCUGAUUCAUGAAGUUUUGGGGUAAAAACGAUUUCGUUUAGGUUUGGAUUCAUGCGGAUUUGGGGUAAAAAAAUUUCGUUUACAUUUUCAAGUCACGGUGACGUCCACGAAUGGCACCCUCUUCUCGCCCUAACCAGAUAAAUCAAAAACAUUUACUUCUAGAUGUUCUACUUGUCAGAUCAUUGACCGUGUUAUCCUAGACGUUCAUCGCCUUAAGUUUGUUAUAAUAAUUAUGUAAUAUUAGAUUACAUGAACUGAUUCGCUUCCUUUCCAUCGUGUCAAAUGUUCGAUUGUAUCAGGUUGGGCUUUGUUUUUUGUCCACCUGACUGGGAAAAUAAGUUUUUUUAAGUUGAAUUAUUUAGCUAUUUCUUCAUACAAGUAAUGGGUAAUGGUUAGAAUAACGGUGCUAGUUAACUUCUGAUCCGAAUAAUGAUUGAUGGUAGAAUAAUAAUAGUUGUCUCGAUUUACUUCUAAUGGGAAUGAUGGUUAAUGGUUAAAAAAAAGUAUCGAUUUUCCUAGGUUCAGUUACUCUCACUAUAACUAUAAAUUGAUAUAUUAUAUAACACUAAACAUAACUAUAAUAUGGGCUUAGUAUUUUUAAUUUCAUUUUUUUAGAAAUUGCCGUAUAUAUUCAACAUACAUUGAUAUACAUCUAGCUAUGUUGAAUCCACAGCAAGGUUAGGGAAAAACAUGUGUUCGAUGAGCAUUAGUUCAACGUUUAAAACAAAUAUAGCAUAUAUUACCAUUAAGUAAAGUAAGGUUUUAUAGCAUGCACUCUUGCCUUUAGAUUAGCCUGCCACACUCUCGUUCAAGUGAUAAGUCUGAGGCCUGAAUAUGUAUUUGAGAUAGAGUGUUUAAAUUGAAUUGACUCUCAUUAAAUGUUAGAGAGUGUCUCUCUUCGAAGAGAGUGUCUCCCUUUGAAGAGAGUGUCUCUCUUUGAAGAGAAUGUCUCGCUUUGAAGAGAAUGUCUCGCUUUGAAGAGAAUGUCUCUGUUUGAAGAGAGUGUCUCUUUUUGAAGAGAAUGUCUCUUUUUGAAGAGAGAGUCUCUCUUUGAAGAGAGUGUCUCUGUUUGAAGAGAGUGUCUUGCCUGAAGAAAGUGUCUCUCUUUGAAGAGAGUGUCUAUCUUUGAAGAGAGUGUCUCGCUUUGAAGAGAGUGUCUCGCUAUGAAUAUUAAUUAGUAUAUAUUUCUACCAGAUCUGUGGUGUCUGGUUAUUGGACUCAAAAUAAAUAGAGAUGGUAAUUGAUAGGGAAAUUAGUUUAAUAAAUUGGUGUCGAUUUCAGGGGAAAUUCAUCUAAAUGCAUCCGAUGAAAAGGGUUUGUAAUUUCAUGUAGAACUCGCCUAAUUAUUGGGUUAAUUAAAUAGAUAUCUUAUUAAUGUAUUGAUAAUACCUAAUUAAUUUGAAAGAUAUUUGCCGACGAAUGAAUGAUGUCCUCCAAUGUCUGAUAGGAAUAGCAUUAAACGUAAUAAUUUUAUUUAAAAAAAUUAAAUUUACAAACAUUUCAUUAUUCAUUCAUUAAACAUUACAAAUUUAAAACUUCAAUUGAAUAAAGAUAUUAAUAAAUAGGGUAACAUUGGGUAAUAAAAAUGAAUGUGCUGAUUUUGACAUCAAAAUUGAGCUAGUAUCGAAUUUAUAUCAUGGUAAUCAAAUGUCAGUCUGAUAUCUAUUGAAUGCAGUAAAACAAAUCUAUGCGUAAUGCAUGGUAAUUAUACACAUGAAUUUUAAUUAAUGUUAUUCUUAUUUUGGUUAAAGUUUAUCGUUAUCAAAUAACGAUUUUUAAUUAACUCUUCUAAUAAAACAUCCGAUAGUCUGUAAUAUCGAACCUUCUACGCACAUUUUUUAUAAUAAAAUCUUUUGUAUUUACGUUAAGAACAGACUUAUGAAUUUUAAAUGAAAUGCAUUUUUUAAAAUUGUUAAUGCUUAAUCCAAAUUUUACGAUUUCAUCUGUUUGUACUCAUGUACACGUGCAGCUAUUUCGUGUGUACGUUCUUGAUGUGAUUUGUGUGAUGUAAUAUUUACCUCUAAAUUGGUAGGUUUAAAUUUGUGUUGUGUUUUACCUCUGUUGUCACUAAUAAAAGUUUUGAAAAUUG